GGCGCUUUGGCGGAGUGGUUAACGCGAUGGCCUGCUAUCAACAAAGAAGCAUUCAGCCAGUGAGUUAAAUCCUUGUCAGUUGAGAUCCGUGAGGUCUUUCUAACAGACAUUUAGUUUCCCUCGGGAGCGUGUGUUCGAAUCACACAGGCGUCG
rnacentral:tRNA from 1 species